rnacentral:lncRNA from 1 species
CAUGGAAUACUGUAAUCUCUGAAGAUUUGAAACUGAGGAUCUCCCAAAGGACAAUGGGGAAGCAUAUGGUGGAGGACCAAUGAUAUCACGGGAUGAUAUCUUGACUUACUUGGGAACUGAAUUUAAGUGAGGCAGUUUAGAGUCGGACAAAGUCAUCAGCCUCACUCUGUCUUCUGGAAUCAUCAAAAUCCAGUGGCAAAUAAAAAAGCCUCAUCAGGACACAAAAGAGACCCUGAGUGUUCAGAGACCAAUCCAGAGGAACACAAGCUAAAAGAAGCUCAUCACCAGAAGAUUGGUCAACAGGGGAUAAUUUUCAUAAACACAUGAAGACUUUCUGCUAAAAUUGUUGGGAUAUUCAUUGGAAGAGAGGAAGAAAAUCCAAAGGAAAAGGAGGAGGAGGAAAAGGAAGGGACCCUGAAUGGAAUUUUUUUUUCCUCCAAACAUAUGUAUCUUUACUUUCUUGAUAUUCUAAAACCAAAUUUCAACACUGACAAAAUUUGAAAUAUUUUACUAACCACAGUUAUUCAGGAAGUUCAAGGCUUUAAUUCUAGCAAGACUAGAUUCUUAUGAAAAAAUAUAUGGCUUUACAAAAGUACAAUGUGGCUAAAAACUGGUGAAAACAAAUAAAAGCAAUCAUAAAGCUAUAUACUUAAUGUUU